rnacentral:rRNA from 1 species
GACGAACGCUGGCGGCGUGCCUAAUACAUGCAAGUAGGACGCAGUUGCGAACGGGUGAGUAACGCGUAGGGAACUGCCUAUUAGCGGGGGAUAACUCAUGGCAACGCUAGCUCAUACCGCAUACUAGGUGAUGGACCUGCGUUGGAUGAGUUAGUAGGUAGGGUAAUGGCCUACCUAGUAAACGAUACAUACCCGACCUAGGAGGGGGAUAGGCCACACGGGGGCUGAGUAACGGCCCAGACUCCGACGGGAGGCAGCAGUAGGGAAUCUUCGGCAAUUGGGGGAACCCUGACCGAGCAACGCCGCGUGAGGGAAGAAGGUUUUCGGAUCGUAAAGCUCUGUUGGUAAGGAAGCGGUACUUAACCAGAAAGGGACGGCUAACUACGUGCCAGCAGCCGCGGUAAUUC